rnacentral:ribozyme from 1 species
CUUCCAGAAACAAAGGAACUCACUUAUAGACAUAACAUAAGAAGAUUGGCGGGUAGACAAGAUCCAAUGCCUGCAAUGCAAACAGAUGCGAUUCCUGCUGAGAUUCAAGAAUCAGAGCAAGUAAAAGAGAUCUGAAGUUGAAAAACUGUAUAAUUGAAGUAAAUGCUUUACAAC